rnacentral:rRNA from 1 species
UACGGAGGGUGCGAGCGUUGUCCGGAAUCACUGGGCGUAAAGGGCGCGUAGGCGGCGCGGGGAGUCAAUGGUGAAAGCUCGGCGCUCAACGCCGAGUCGGCCGUCGAUACUCCCCGUGCUCGAGCACUGUAGAGGCAGGUGGAAUUCCGGGUGUAGCGGUGGAAUGCGUAGGAGAUCCGGAGGAACACCAAAGGCGAAGGCAGUGUCCUGGGAGUACGUGACG